CCUACGGGUGGCAGCAGUGAGGAAUAUUGGUCAAUGGACGAGAGUCUGAACCAGCCAAGUAGCGUGAAGGAUGACUGCCCUAUGGGUUGUAAACUUCUUUUAUAUGGGAAUAAAAUGUUCCACGUGUGGGAUUUUGUAUGUACCAUAUGAAUAAGGAACGGCUAACUCCGUGCCAGCAGCCGCGGUAAUACGGAGGGUACGAGCGUUAUCCGGAUUUAUUGGGUGUAAAGGGAGCGUAGGUGGAUUGUUAAGUCAGUUGUGAAAGUUUGCGGCUCAACCGUAAAAUUGCAGUUGAAACUGGCAGUCUUGAGUACAGUAGAGGUGGGCGGAAUUCGUGGUGUAGCGGUGAAAUGCUUAGAUAUCACGAAGAACUCCGAUUGCGAAGGCAGUUCACUGGACUGCAACUGACACUGAGGCUCGAAAGUGUGGGUAUCAAACAGGAUUAGAUACCCGGGUAGUC
rnacentral:rRNA from 1 species